CUUGCCUACAUAUCUGAGCUCCUAUUUCAUUAUGUGGAAGACCUGCUGCACUAAAUAAUGG
rnacentral:antisense_RNA from 1 species